UACGUAGGGUGCAAGCGUUAAUCGGAAUUACUGGGCGUAAAGCGUGCGCAGGCGGUUCGCUAAGACCGAUGUGAAAUCCCCGGGCUUAACCUGGGAACUGCAUUGGUGACUGGCGGGCUAGAGUAUGGCAGAGGGGGGUAGAAUUCCACGUGUAGCAGUGAAAUGCGUAGAGAUGUGGAGGAAUACCGAUGGCGAAGGCAGCCCCCUGGGCCAAUACUGACGCUCAUGCACGAAAGCGUGGGGAGCAAUCCGG
rnacentral:rRNA from 1 species